AUGUGCUCUAGCAGACGCAAAUGCGCUGGCCUUCAUGAUUUCAGGGCCUGGAAUCAUACCAGCCAAUGGCGUCAAGUUCGAUCCACGGAUCAGGAGGUGAUCGAGCACCUUGAGGCCAAAGUGAGUGCUGAUAGGACGAGAUCUCACCCUCUGAUCGAUUUGUUCAUACCAACCAUCGACAGCGAGCACGGCAUAUGCUACACUCAUCCUGAGAAACUUCCAGGUAUCACACUGAGUGGCCUAAGCAAGCAUUUCUUCCAGCGCAAUUCCAGGGCGUUCAAAAGGGGCACGUGGACGCGUCGCAAGAUACAGUCGGAGUGCGGCAUGCACACGAUGUGGCACAACACCAGCAAUACCUUGCCGGUGAUAGUCAACGGCCGACAGACGGGCAGCAAAAAGGUUCUGGUGCUGCACACCAACAAGAACUUCGACCAGCAGAAGACCAACUGGGUGAUGCACAAGUACCACCUUGGGGACCUGGAGCAAGAGAAGGAGCGGGAGCUGGUCCUCUGCAAGAUUUUCUACCAAAUGAACACUAGGGCCAGGAGUAAAAAGAUUAUAAAUUAG
rnacentral:rRNA from 1 species